AAUACAGGACACCCAGUUGAAUUUGAGUCUCAGAUAAGUAGUGAAUAAUUUUUAGUAUAAGUAUAUUCCAUGCAACACUUGGGAUAUACUUAUGCUAAAAGCUAUUUGUUGUAUAUCUGAAAUUCACAUUCUGCUGGACAGCCUGCAUUUU
rnacentral:miRNA from 14 species